rnacentral:lncRNA from 1 species
GGUGAGUCUGGACGCGGGCGCGGAAGGAGCGCGGCCGGAGGUCCUCAGGAAGAAGCCGCGGGGACUGGCUGCGCUUGACAGGCUGCACUUGGAUGGGAGCACCUGGUGCCUCGGGACUGCUCCGAUGCCCGGGUCUGUGCUGAAUGUGUAAUAUGCGGAACUAUAUUGAAACAUUACAACCAUCUUUUGAUGGCAACACCCUGAGGACCUCCCUUUUCCAGAUGGGGAAACUGAGGCCCAGAAUUGCUAAGUGGCUUGCUUGAGUUGACACAGGGAGCUCCAGGACUCACCCUCAGGCCCAAGUCUGGUUGCCCCCAAACCACAUCCUAGAGAUCCCCA